rnacentral:rRNA from 1 species
UCCGAGAUGGGGAUAACCUUCCGAAAGGAGGGCUAAUACCGAAUUUGACCACAGUUGCUUCGGCAACAGGGGUUAAAGGUGGCCUCUACUUGUAAGCUAUCGCUUGGAGAUGGGCUUAUGCACCAUCAGCCUGUUGGUGAGGUAACGGCUCACCAAAGCUAUGACGGUUAGCUGAUCUGAGAGGUUGAUCAGCCACACUGGAACUGAGACACGGUCCAG